CAACAAGAGGCUCCCCAGUGACCCGAGCUGCGAUGUCAGGCUGUAAGGCAGGGUGAAGUGAGCCUAUGGAAAGCGGCUCCGGGAGCUCCACUUGUGCAGAACCGAUCAGACGAGAUAGGCCAGCCAGCAAAACGCAUUUGCAUUACACUUGCUGUAGAUGGUUCAGAGCAUGGCACACCCCAGUCGCUGCUUUUAUGCUCUGUAAGGGCCCGGCCCUGCAAACACCGAUUUUUACAUGUGUAAGUAGAGUCCCACUGAAGCACAAUGGAGCUACUCAUGCAAAUAACAUUACGAGUGUAGGGCUGUGGCUCCAUUUCACCACUCCAUCUGCAGCAGACUUGGAGGAUCCUGCUGCUCUCUCUCUCAGUUACUGCCGCUUGCCUGUGCUGGUUAAACUAUUUAUGGAGCCACAGGUGAGCUGUUUAAACGACCCAACUUUCCUUGAAAAGCCAUGCAUAAUAACGAGAACAACCCCUGAACACCAGACCUGCUCUGAUGCAGAUCUCAUCCCCACAAGUGGCUGAACAGGCACAACUGGAGGAGGUGGAAACAUCUGAGGAAGAGGAACUUUUGAAGAUGGGACUGAAGGCAGGCGAAAUGGCGACACGGAGCCUUGGCAUGUGAAGGCUGCAGGCAUGACUCUUCUGAAGUUAGACCCUGCCCCUGACCACCUGCGCUCUGCAGCCGAGCCUGUUCUCUAACCGCACAGUUGUUCCACGUGAAAGAAGUUUCACCUCUAAUGAAACAGCAGAUCGCACCUUUUCAGUCACUGGUGCUUAAAAACAUUCCCUCAAGAAAGUCUGCCACCAUUAUGAAGGAUCAGGAAUGAUUAUUGCUUCCAGGAUCAGGAACGUACACUCCUCCUUACCAAUAAGGGACACGGUUUCCAUGUGCACCCGUAGCCAGCACGCUGCUGCUUCUGCAGUCAAAGGAUCCCCUGCUAUUAGCUUUUACACGGCACAUUUGGGCCAAGCAAAGUAUUCCCUACAUUUUUUUUCAGUUUAUGGGCUAUUUUAUCUCCAGCAACUCCGGGCUGAAAUUGCAUCACAUAUUUCCUGUCUGCUGAGGCAAGAUUUCCCUCUUUCAGAGUGAUCAUAACCUUCCAGCAGGGAAGCUCCACCAACUCCUUCAGAGCUUUGCACUCUAUUCCACCCUCGACUUCUGUGUUCACGUACACCUGUGCAAAGUGGGUGUAAAAUGCUCGCACUGCUGGAAGUGAAGAACACACAUCAUUAGGAGGAUGUUUUGCUUUGUUUGUUUGCUUUAGGUUUGUUUUUCUUUUGUUUUGUUUUUCCCCUCCUUUUGCUCUGGUGUAAAUGAUCAGAGGAGCCACAGGACCACAGAAAGAUCAGGCUCUGUGAAAUCUUUUUCUUACGAGCUUUGACUUUUAAAUGGCUGCGUGCUCUAAUGAGCCUUCUCGAAAGGAAACUACCCUCUCUGCAAUGAACCCAGGUGAUGGCGGUUCUCCUGCUGCCACGAUCUCUCUGCAUGGGCUCAGGGGAGCUGCCUUCAUGAAUCCUGCUGCAAGACGAAGCCUGAUGCUGGACAGCGUGAAAGAGAUGGUAACGGACCACAGGGAAGGGCAGCUUAACGUCCGCUGUUAACUUGGAAAAACCUUUCUGAAAGCAUUUAUCUAUUAUAAAUCAUUCCUAAAAGAUGAGGAAAUCAGGAUUAGGAGGAGGGGGAGAGAUUGUUGCGGCUUUGUUUCUAGUUCAGUUUCUUUUGGCGUCAGACUAGAGCCUGGUCUGGCUAGGCCUGAGCCUAGCCAGUUUUGCUGAACCUCAGACCUACAAAUGCCAAAGCAGCAGCAUCACUGGGUGAGCGGUCCCUCCACUCCCAGACUUGCGUGGGACUGCACAAGCUCACAGAGAAGGGAAAGGCGUACAUACCCAUAACCAUCUCCAUAUAUGUGUGUACACACACACACACCCCAGUGCUGGAAUAAGGCCACCUGUAGCUACCCCUCAUGGAUCACCACGGCCUCGGUGGCCACAGAGUGCUGCUACGAGGGAGGCUGGCUGCACAGCAUCACCCUACAGCAACAGGCAAAUGCAGCGUGGCAAUCAGGGCCUUGCUCUCGCUUCUCCUAGCUACGCUGCAAAGAGAGAAACAUUUAAUCUCAGGUUUUCCUAUUCUCUCAUCACACUCAUCAAUCUCCAAACAACAUGAGCCUUAAUCAGGUUUGGGCUGGAGCGUAGAACUUGGCCUGUGGUUAAAAUACAUGCCAGAAGAACCUCGGGAUCUCCAGAUAGACUUCUAGAGGAUCUGCCCCCCUUUGAGACACUAUCCCACAUCAGAACUGUAAUGCGAUGAACAAAUCCCACGCAUUAUAACAGUCCAUUUGCAGGAAGCUCCUGCCCUAUUUAGAGUCAUCUCCAAAGUCAAUAAGCAGGUGUGAGGCAAAUGCUAGGCAGCAAUACAGAUAAAUGCUCAGUUUUAUCUCCUGUGAUUAAAAAAAAAAAAAAAAAAAAAAAAAAAAAAAGAGGAGAUUGAAUCAGAAGGGGAAUCAGGUAAACAGAAUCUGGGGAAACAUAUGCUCAUCCAACAUGAAAAAUACGAAUUCAUACAAAACAGUGGUGGCAAAUUUUGGCAUACAGGAGAUCCCAAAACCAACGUUUGCCCAGGCACGCCGGUCCUAUUACGCUGUUCCCCUGUUUUACAGGGAGCUGCUAACACACCGAGUUGUGGCUCAGCCAGGAGAAUUUGGCUGUGGAACUGCCUGACCCUUGAGCAUUUCAAGACUCUCAGCAGAAACUUUACACUCCUUUUGU